rnacentral:lncRNA from 1 species
AAUGAACUUUUUUCGGAAGAUGAAUAUGUCAAUGACUCAACUCUUUACAAAAGUAAAUUGUUUAAUAAUGAGUGUUUUUUUAGUUGGGGCUAGUGCAGAGACGACAGAGAAAAUGUUUGAGUGAGAGAGAUGAAGGAGAAAGGGUUGAGAGGAAUGAAGGAGGAAAGGGUUUGGGGUUUUUUUUAGUUUUGAGAAUGAAAAUUAUUAAAAUAAGGCAAGUGUUUCUGAUUUUUU